rnacentral:rRNA from 1 species
UUUUUUGAGAGUUUGAUCCUGGCUCAGGAUGAACGCUGGCGGUGUGCCUUAAGCAUGCAAGUAGAACGAUUUUUUAGCCGCAAGGCCGAAAGAUAGUUGCAGACGGGUGAGUAAUGCACAAGAAUCUACCCUUUGAUGGGGAAUAGCUGGCCGAAAGGCCAAUUAAUACCGCAUAAAACCGCAAGGUAAAAGGCCGUAACUGGCCGUCGAAGGAGGAGCUUGUGUCCUAUCAGCUUGUUGGUGGGGUAAUGGCCUACCAAGGCGAUGACGGGUAGCUGGACUGAGAGGUCGGUCAGCCACAAUAGCACUUAGAUACGGGCUAUACAUCUACGGAUGGCAGCAACUGGGAAUAUUGCGCAAUGGGCGAAAGCCUGACGCAGCGACACCGCGUGGGGGAUGAAGGUCUUCGGAUCGUAAACCCCUUUUGACUUUCCAUAUGGAGAGUAGAAUAAGCACCUGCUAACCACGUGCCAGCAGCCGCGGUAAUACGUGGGGUGCAAGCGUUAUCCGGAUUUAUUGGGCGUAAAGCGUUCGUAGGUGUCUGACCAAGUUCCGUUUGAAAUCCCGAGGCUCAACCUCGGAUCCGAACGGAAAACUGGCCAGAUCGAGUUUGCUAGGGGGUACUGGAACUUGUGGUGUAGCAGUGAAAUGCGUUGAUAUCACAAGGAACACCGAGGGCGAAGGCAGGUACCUGGGGCACAACUGACACUCAGUGAACGAAAGCUAGGGGAGCGAAACAGAUUAGAGACCUGUGUAGUCCUAGCCGUAAACUAUGCUCGCUUGAUCCCUGGACCUUGUGUUUGGGGGUCGUAGCUAACGCGUGAAGCGAGCCGCCUGGGGAGUACGGCCGCAAGGCUAAAACUCAAAGGAAUUGACGGGGAAGAGCACAACCAGGGGAGCAUGUGGUUUAAUUCGAGACUAAGCGAAGGACCUUACCCAGAUUUGACAUGUUACCGUUUACUCUGCAGGAAACUGCGGGGAAUCCAACGCAAGAAGGAAGGUAACACAGGUGUUGCAUGGCUGUCGUCAGCUCGUGCCGUGGGGUGUCCCAUUAAGUUGGGGAACGAGCGCAACCCUCACCCAAUGUUCAAAAGUCUUUGGGAACUGCUCCGGUUAAACCGGGGAGGAAGGAGAGGACGACGUCAAGUCAGCAUGAUCCUUAUAUCUGGGGCCACACACAUCCUACAAUGGGAAGGAACAAUGGGUUGCCAAGCCGCAAGGCGGAGCUAAUCCCAACAAAACUUCCCUCAGUUCAGAUUGCGGGCUGCAACUCGCCCGCAUGAAGACGGACUUGGUAGUAAUCGCGGAUCAGCAGGCCGCGGUGAAUACGUUCUCUCUUCUUGUACACACCGCCCAUCAAGCCAGCAAAGUUGGGGGCGCCUGAUAUCUCACCUCUGGUGGGACAAGGGCGAACUCAGCGAUGAGGGCUAAGUUGUAACAAGGUAUCCCUAGCUGAAGCUGGGGAUGGAUCACCUCCUUU